rnacentral:rRNA from 1 species
GGGUUGUGAGGUUAAGCGACUAAGCGUACACGGUGGAUGCCCUGGCAGUCAGAGGCGAUGAAGGACGUGCUAAUCUGCGAUAAGCGUCGGUGAGGUGAUAUGAACCGUUAUAACCGGCGAUUUCCGAAUGGGGAAACCCAGUGUGUUUCGACACACUAUCAUUAACUGAAUCCAUAGGUUAAUGAGGCGAACCGGGGGAACUGAAACAUCUAAGUACCCCGAGGAAAAGAAAUCAACCGAGAUUCCCCCAGUAGCGGCGAGCGAACGGGGAGGAGCCCAGAGCCUGAAUCAGUGUGUGUGUUAGUGGAAGCGUCUGGAAAGGCGCGCGAUACAGGGUGACAGCCCCGUACACAAAAAUGCACAUAUUGUGAGCUCGAUGAGUAGGGCGGGACACGUGGUAUCCUGUCUGAAUAUGGGGGGACCAUCCUCCAAGGCUAAAUACUCCUGACUGACCGAUAGUGAACCAGUACCGUGAGGGAAAGGCGAAAAGAACCCCGGCGAGGGGAGUGAAAAAGAACCUGAAACCGUGUACGUACAAGCAGUGGGAGCCUCUUAAUGGGGUGACUGCGUACCUUUUGUAUAAUGGGUCAGCGACUUAUAUUCUGUAGCAAGGUUAACCGAAUAGGGGAGCCGAAGGGAAACCGAGUCUUAACUGGGCGUUAAGUUGCAGGGUAUAGACCCGAAACCCGGUGAUCUAGCCAUGGGCAGGUUGAAGGUUGGGUAACACUAACUGGAGGACCGAACCGACUAAUGUUGAAAAAUUAGCGGAUGACUUGUGGCUGGGGGUGAAAGGCCAAUCAAACCGGGAGAUAGCUGGUUCUCCCCGAAAGCUAUUUAGGUAGCGCCUCGUGAAUUCAUCUCCGGGGGUAGAGCACUGUUUCGGCAAGGGGGUCAUCCCGACUUACCAACCCGAUGCAAACUGCGAAUACCGGAGAAUGUUAUCACGGGAGACACACGGCGGGUGCUAACGUCCGUCGUGAAGAGGGAAACAACCCAGACCGCCAGCUAAGGUCCCAAAGUCAUGGUUAAGUGGGAAACGAUGUGGGAAGGCCCAGACAGCCAGGAUGUUGGCUUAGAAGCAGCCAUCAUUUAAAGAAAGCGUAAUAGCUCACUGGUCGAGUCGGCCUGCGCGGAAGAUGUAACGGGGCUAAACCAUGCACCGAAGCUGCGGCAGCGACGCUUAUGCGUUGUUGGGUAGGGGAGCGUUCUGUAAGCCUGCGAAGGUGUGCUGUGAGGCAUGCUGGAGGUAUCAGAAGUGCGAAUGCUGACAUAAGUAACGAUAAAGCGGGUGAAAAGCCCGCUCGCCGGAAGACCAAGGGUUCCUGUCCAACGUUAAUCGGGGCAGGGUGAGUCGACCCCUAAGGCGAGGCCGAAAGGCGUAGUCGAUGGGAAACAGGUUAAUAUUCCUGUACUUGGUGUUACUGCGAAGGGGGGACGGAGAAGGCUAUGUUGGCCGGGCGACGGUUGUCCCGGUUUAAGCGUGUAGGCUGGU